CAGCAAUGGUGGCAGCAUAUUCAAGGAGAGGGACUCCAGUAACUUUUGGACGCUUGCCUUUCCUGGCAGCCAGCCGCUGGAAGAAAGCCUGCAACAGUGGGUCCCAUAUCACUUGCAAGUAAAUGAAGGAAAACAGGGACUUGUCUAAUGGAACAGGGUACUUUAAUUCCUUAUAUCUGAAUGUUAAUAACCCAUAAUUAUACGAGAAGCAGUUUGCACAUGAUCCUUCUGCUCACCAGGUGUUAUAAGAUUAAAUUAGGACACCUUGAAUCUUCAUCAUCAUUAUCAUCUCCUUUUAAUGACCCCAUAAUACCUUGUGGGAUGCAAUCUGAGCAACUGAAUAAAACUGAAUGGAACUUAUAGGGCGGAUGCCCUUCCUGUUGCCAAUGCGGAAUUUUAUUCAGCAGAUAUAUUCUCAUCGUGCCCAGAGAGAAAUACCUGCCUCUACCUAGGAUCGAACUCAAAGCCUCUUGAUUGUGAGGCAAGAGAGCUCCACCUCUAGGCCACCACACCACUCACACCUUGAAUCUUUAUAAAUAUGGAUAAUCAUUGGACAGUGGGAAAGAGAUGCAAAAUAUCUCUAGUGCUAUCUAGUGGUCUCAUCUGGAUUUUUGUAGCCCCUAUCUGUAUUCCUACUUUUCUACAAGUCAUGACGAAACAAAUAUUUUUCUGAAGGAUGGAAAAAUACUGAUUUUUUUUUAAGGCAAAUGCUAGGGGAUGCUAUGGUAUUUCUCUGCUUGCACCACAAUGACUUUCAUUUUUACUGAAAAUAAAUCUGUGUUGGAAUUCUCUGUCAUCUUUAGUUCAACCCUCAAGAAUGCUCCUGCAAUCUUUAUCAUUUUGAAUCUGAGUCAAUAAUUGUUUUUCCAUUAGAGUUAGCCUUUAUUUUUGGCUACAAAUUUGCAUUCCAUUAUCAAGACACAGAAAAGAGUCCAGAUCUUUGAUCUUUCACACUUGUGCAGUCAUGGAGAAAGUGGGUAAGUAUACCUGGAAUCAUGUCUACGACAUUUCAGAUUUCUGUCUCAUGGAGCAGAUUCACCUUGAUGACUCUGCUUUGUCUCAGCCUUUAGAACUCAUACAAUGACUGAGCAAAGAUGAUUUGGCUGCAUCACUGAACUAAACUACAUUAUUGAUCUUUUCAAAAUCUUUGGUAACCAGAGGGCUCACAACAAAAGCCUAGCUAUAGAUGGACUCUGCACAAUCAUGCAAGAAAGUAGACAUAUUCUAGCAAUAAUCAUGAUUCACCUUUUGGUGCAGGUUGUUUUCUUUGCUUCAUUUUCAUAUACAUUUAAAGUAGCAUAAAAAUAAUUGCAUAUACACAAAGCAUCAGGCACAAAAUUGCGGCGAGCCCAUUCUUUCAAGGAAAGUAAGGGAACCUAAAUCAAUAGCAAGAGCAAAAUAUA